rnacentral:rRNA from 1 species
GCCAGACUCCUACGGGAGGCAGCAGUGGGGAAUACUGCACAAUGGGGGAAACCCUGAUGCAGCGACGCCGCGUGAGCGAUGAAGUAUUUCGGUAUGUAAAGCUCUAUCAGCAGGGAAGAAAAUGACGGUACCUGACUAAGAAGCCCCGGCUAACUACGUGCCAGCAGCCGCGGUAAUACGUAGGGGGCAAGCGUUAUCCGGAUUUACUGGGUGUAAAGGGAGCGUAGACGGUGAAGCAAGUCUGAAGUGAAAGGCGGGGGCUCAACCCCCGGACUGCUUUGGAAACUGUUUGACUGGAGUGCAGGAGAGGUAAGUGGAAUUCCUAGUGUAGCGGUGAAAUGCGUAGAUAUCAGGAGGAACACCGGUGGCGAAGGCGGCCUGCUGGACUGCAACCGACGUUGAGGCCCGAAAGCGUGGGGAGCAAACAGGAUUAGAUACCCCGGUAC